GACGAACGCUGGCGGCGUGCUUAACACAUGCAAGUCGAACGGAAAGGCCCUGCUUUUGUGGGGUGCUCGAGUGGCGAACGGGUGAGUAACACGUGAGUAACCUGCCCUUGACUUUGGGAUAACUUCAGGAAACUGGGGCUAAUACCGGCUAGGAGCUCCUGCUUCAUGGUGGGGGUUGGAAAGUUUCGGCGGUUGGGGAUGGACUCGCGGCUUAUCAGCUUGUUGGUUGGGUAGUGGCUUACCAAGGCUUUGACGGGUAGCCGGCCUGAGAGGGUGACCGGCCACAUUGGGACUGAGAUGCGGCCCAGACUCCUACGGGAGGCAGCAGUGGGGAAUAUUGCACAAUGGGCGGAAGCCUGAUGCAGCAACGCCGCGUGCGGGAUGACGGCCUUCGGGUUGUAAUCCGCUUUCGCCUGUGACGAAGCGUGAGUGACGGUAAUGGGUAAAGAAGCACCGGCUAACUACGUG
rnacentral:rRNA from 1 species